ensembl:snRNA U2 U2 spliceosomal RNA
AUCACUUCUCUGCCUUUUGGCUAAGAUCAAGUGUAGUACCUGCUCUAUCUGAUACGUCCCCUACAUGGAGACCAUAUAUUAAAUUGAUUUUUGGAGCAGGGAGAUGGAAUAGGGGCUUGCUCCGUCCACUCCAUGCAUCGACCAGUAUUGCAGUAUCUCCGGGAACAGUGCACCCCUU